GACGAACGCUGGCGGCGUGCCUAAUACAUGCAAGUCGAACGCAGUGGGGACGGGUGAGUAACACGUGGGUAACCUCCCAUCAGAGGGGAUAACACUUGGAAACAGGUGCUAAACCGAUACUGAUGGAUGGACCCGCGGUGCGUUAGCUAGUUGGUGGGGUAACGGCUCACCAAGGCCACGAUGCAUAGGCGAGCUGGAGGGGUGAUGGGCCACACUGGGGCUGAGAGACGGCCUAGACCCCUGCGGGAGGCGGCAGUAGGGAAUUUUGGGCAAGGGACGAAAGUCGGACCGAGCAACGACGCGUGAGUGAAGAAGGUUUUCGGAUCGUAAAGCUCUGUUGUUAGAGAAGCGGUAUCUAACCAGAAAGCCACGGCUAACUACGUGCCAGCCGCCGCGGUAAUUC
rnacentral:rRNA from 1 species